rnacentral:lncRNA from 1 species
UGUUUCACAUUGGGUUUUUUUUUUUUUUUUUUCAGGUUUAUAACAAAAAUACAUGGAACUGAAUGUGAGUUUCAAUACAUUGGACAAUUACAGAGACAAGUCUAUACAGUGUCAUCCUUCCUGUGGGGGGCAGGAUCGUCCAUUCCACAAAGAAGACAGAAUCACAUGAUUCGGCGCGAUCACCUUACACUGCCUGUGUUCUCAUGUCUGAGACAAAUGACAAAAUAAAUAAAACUGAACAGCGUCCGCUGCCCCAAUUCCCCUCUUCGUUUCCUUCUCCCACUUGAGAUCUCCCCAGCCAGGCGGGCGGCGGCGCGAGGCAGCCUGUGAGUGGGACAGACCAGGUCAGGGGCUCUGCUGACCCCGAGGCCGAGAAUGCCCUGAGAUGACCGAGAAAUGUACUUUGAAUCAACCACUUCGUGUUGAGCCGAGACACACACAGAGGGGGAGGGAAAGAGAAAGGAGCUACAAGAACUGCUGGUGGGGGGCCUGAUAGCCACGGCAUGUUCAAAAUCCAGCUUGUACGGUGAGGACAUGGCCUACAGACAACCUGUAGUCAGUACAUUUAGCCAGAAAUUUCCUAACUGCAGAGUUAACACCUCCUUGUGGUAACACGAGGAAUUGGGAGAUGCUGAGCAAGCACACACCUUUCUGCCCAAACUCCACCAAGUACAGUCAUUCAUUCAACAGAAAAAGUCAAAACCAUUUGGUUUUUAAAUGAAAAUCCUUCACAUCCACCUGUGUUCAAAAAUAAUAAAUUAUGAUAAUAGCUUCCUUGGGGGAAAAAAAAAAAAAGCAAAUAUCACAAAAGAGUUAAAUUGGUAAGUGUGGAAAGACUUUUUUUUCCUAUAAGUGUAGUUCUUUUAGGAAGACAGACAUGUAACACACAGGCAACAUAAAGCUGUGAUAUCUUGUGAUUUUAGCUUAAAGCAAAAGCUACCUCCUCCCAAAGUUCUAAACGAGUGUUAAGUGUUUUCCAUUGCAAAAGAUCUCAGCUCACUUAGACCAGCACACAACGGACUAAACAAACACAUUUAUUGUUUUUUCCCCAUUUCAGGUGUACAUCUGCCUCCGUGACGAAGAGCGGUGGAACUCACACUAUAUGACCAAGCUCCGGAGGCGGAACAGCCCUUCACAGAGCCUGGCCCAGGAGCUAUUUUCUUUUCAAAACAGAAUUAGAAAUAAUCAUCAGUGGUGUGGUGCAUGGGGGGGAAGCUGGUCAGCCCUAACUUGACUUGUUCGGGCCACAUGGCUUCCUGGGCAGACGCUGCUGAGCCGGCCGGCCAAGCGGAACAGCACGUCUGGGCCCAGGGGCAGCUCCCUCCUGGGCCGAGCCUGAGCCACCCCGUGCCGUCCCAGUGAUGGGCCGCCUUAUUUGCACGCGGUAGCCACCACUUGCUUUUGGAUAAAAAUUGACUGCUUAUAUUUUUCAUCUCUAGUACCAUUAACACCUUGGAGGAAAAAAAAAAAAAAGUAACCAACAUAGAAAGCUUGACGGUGAGAAUAAGAAAACCUACAAAAGAAAGGCCAUGCUAAAAACUGCUUCGACGGUUCCAUCACCGCCCACCGCGGGGGCUUGAGGCUGGUGACUUCAUGGAUGCAACUCCAGUGCUCUGUCGAACGUCAGUUUUGAGUCCGUCACGGUGACCCCAGUGUGAUGCUGCCUGCCUUCCACACAGCAUGUCCCACCCACGACAUCCAAGGGGGCCUCGGGUGGUGUAAGCACGGGACACGCAGGUGCCGAAGCCUGAGAGCAUUCUGUAAACUUCGCCUUGGGUUUGGGCAAGACACACACAGUGGUUUGGAGUCUUGGCAGCAGCAUCCACACUGGGGUUUAACCUCAGCAACCGGCCUGGAGGAUGUUUCCCCCUGAGCGCUUGGUCACCGACAGGGUCGUGAACACCUGCAGGGGAGGAGACAGCACGAGACUUUCAGAUGCUGCACACAAGUUGACGGGAGUGUCUCAGAUAACACCGAACAUACUAAGAAUGACUAAGAGAGUAGUAACAUGACCAAGGUAAGCAUUUUAAAACCAAGGUGAAAGAGAAAAAAUGUAGGUUAUAUCUAAUAAAGCAUUGAUUAGCCUGGGGGUGAUUAAAAUAAUUAGUUAUCAUGGUUGCUCAUCAAUUUUCUAAAAGAAAUGCAUCAUGAAAUAGUCUGAACACACAGAAAGGAGUAAAGUGCAUUUUUUUUUUCAGCCGCAGCCACAGCACAUGGAAUUUUUCAGGCCAGGGACUGAAUCCAAGCCACAGUUUGCAGCAAUGCUGAUCCUUAACCCACUGUGCAGGGUGGGGAUCAAACCAGCAAUGCCACAGAGAGGAGCUGGAUCAUCAGCCAUUAAGCCGCAGAGGAACUCCCUAAGGUGCACUAUCAUAAACACCCUUGUGCCUACCAACCUCACUCGGGGCGCUUUAUAAUACAUCAGCGCCCCACGUGUCCCCCACUUCCUCAUCACUUGCUCCCCAACUGGUGCUUACCACCCCUACGCAUUUCUUCUUGCUUGUCUUUUGCAGGUUUUUAUUUAUUUUUUAUUUUUGUAUUGCUCCUUAGGGCCGCACCUGAGGCGUAUGGAGGUUCCCAGGCUAGGGCUCUGAUUGGAGCUACAGCUGCCAGCCUAUGCCACAGCCACAGCCACACCAAAUCCAAGCUGCAUCUUCCACCUACACUACAGCUCACGACAUGGUUUGAAUCUGGUGUUGCUGUGGCUGUGGUGUAGGCUGGCAGCUACAGCUCUGAUUCGACCCCUGGCCUAGGAACCUCCAUAUGCCGCAGGUGUGGCCCUAAAAAGACAAAAGACUAAAAAAAAAGAAAUUAAAAAAAAAAAAAAAAGGCAGAUCCACGUAAUAAUGGCUAGUAUCUUAAAACAUUUAAAGGAUGAACCCAGAAGAAGAUGUGUGAAUUAUUCACAUCCAAAAAAAUAAGAGGUUCAUCCUUGUUAACAAAGAUUAAUGGAAAACUCUUGAAACAGUUACUCUUUUUAUACUUAUUACAGAAAAAACUACACUAAAUUUUGCAAUAUUUUUAUUAGCACUCAAAUUCAAGGCCCAUAACAUUGUAAACUAAGCUCUCUCUUCAAUUUUUAUAAAAGGAAGAAAAAUAGUGAGCCAGGGAAUACAUGAAAGCAAAUCUCAGGCUUGUGAAUUUGCAAGCUUAAGCUUUACUUCUUAGGAAUUAAUUUAGAAACAGAACUUGUAGGACCAUGUGGAUAAAAAACUAACAAAUCCAUCAAAAAAAUGGAAAUACAUUAAGGGGAAUAAAAAAGCUCUUUUCUAUUUUUCUUCUACUGCAAACAUGCUGACGUCAAAGAGCUGAGGGAAGCCGAUCUGCCACUGCUGGUGAGUCUCAAUGAAAAAAUCAUGGGGUCAGUUCUUACAAAGAUUUAAAUGUGCACUGAUGCUUGAGAGUUUUCAUAAAAACAUGAGCAGAGGCAACUUUUCUAUCUCAACACAGAGAACAUUCACAAAAGGUGAAAUGCUGCAGUAGGCGUGUGCCUCACGUUACUUACUUGGCUAAUACCUCCCAGCCUCACAAGACACCCCUCACAGUAGACUGAGAUUAUGCUGACUGUUCAUAAAAUAAAACAUUGGAUGUUUGGAAUUAAAAUUCAUUUUAAGGAGUUCCCGUCAUGGCACAGUGGAAACGAAUCCGACUAGGAACCAUGAGGUUGUGGGUUUGAUCCCUGGCCUCGCUCAGUGGGUUAAGGAUCCAGUGUUGCCGUGAGCUGUGGUGUAGGUUGCAGACACAGCUCAGAUCCUGCGAGGCCAGGGAUCGCACCUUCGUCCUCAUGGAUGCUAGUCAGAUUCAUUUCUGCUGAGCCAAAAUGGGAACUCCACACUGUUUCUUCUUAAGCUAUUAUUUUUUCCCUACAAAUAAAUCUGAGUCGUUGCUAUUACUACUCAAAAUGGUAUGUAAUCAGUAGGAACUCAAUUUUAAUUGCUCAGAUGUCCAGGAUAAAUUCUCACAGCACUGUCUUCACACUGCAUGAUGCUAACACAUCACUGAUGCUCCAGGCCUCGAGACUCCCUCUCCUGUCAACGCCUUCAGUCAAAAUGACAGCAGUCUCUCUUCCCCCAGCACUUCCAGAAGGCAACCCUUUGGAAAUUAUUUUGCUCCAGUGCAGAGUCUCCACUGGGGAAUUUGUCAACUUUUGUAAGCAAUAACUUCCCAGAGCCAAAGGGUGUGCAAUUGCCCAGGCCAUUUUUUCAAAAUGAUAAGGAAGGGUUCAUUCAGUGAUUCAUUUCCCAAACCACACACACAGCUGGCCCGGGGACUGGGCGAGUUCUGAACACCUCCAAGCGGUGCUCAGGACCAGUUUUUAAAUUAUUAUUUUUCCUAAUCCACCUAAUGGACUGACACUUGUCAAGUUCAAAAAAAAUGAAUUAGGAAACAAACGUUUAAAAAGCAUGUAAAACUCAGAUUUUCUAUUAUUAGAGCAGACACUGUCCAAUUACCCUCUAACUUUCUAAGCCUUUCUUCAUUUCCAUCCUCCUCUCACUAUGGACUAGUAACAAAGACUCUGCGGACUACAUUUAGAGUGGCACCCCUCUACAGCAUAAGGCUGUCUGCUUUAAAAAAAGAAAAAAAGUGGGUCCAGCAGCAGAUCCACUUACAAACUAUGCCAGCCAGAACCCAGCAUGUAGCAAGACUGUCCCUAAAAAUCCCCUACUGAUCAAAUUUCACUUUCCUUCUGUCAAGAAGCUUUAAGAAAGAUUUCUAUAGUCAGGAUUUUGUCACAAGUCUUUGGUUUUUUUCAAAAUCUAGUUUCUAGGCAAAGAGUUCAUAACCAGCGGUAAAAGAAAUCACCAGAGGAGCUUUCUCAAAAUACAUGCCCUUGCUCCACCUCCCCUCUCCCCACAAUACUUUGGCUUUUUAGUCAAGCCACACCUUCUGUAAUGAAAUAGCCUGGGGAAAACCAGCUACCAGAUGCAGUUACUGAGUGUAUGCCAAAUGCCAAAAGUCCCCUCGACACUUCCUCACAGCCCUGAGUGACACGUCGAGUGCUGUAGGAGGUGCGGACCGGGCGUUGUCUGCACUGCGUGCUGCCUCCCAAGCCAGCCUGCCUGACUACGCAUCUCGGAUCUGCCACUUCAGGCUGGCAGGUUACUCAGCCUCUCUGUCCUCAAUUUCCUCGUCUGUCAAAUGGAGACACUCCUGUCCCCUACCCCACAGGGUUCUCGUAAGGACUAAGUCCACAGGCGGGGAGCAGGGGCCUGAAACGCAGUGAGUCCUCAUGAACCUCGACGAUUCUGACAAUGCGAGUUCCUAGGAACCUGCUCUUGCUCCAACUGCGUCCUGCUUCAAGCCUCAAACACGAACCACUCUCAGUUCUCCCUGUUUCCAAACAAUGGGCAAACACUAUCGACUCCGUCUCCUCUUCCCUCUCAGAUACGGCCUGUCCUCUGCCAUCCACCACCAUGACUGCAGUUCAGGCCACCACCACCUUGGGCGUCCUUGGGCCCAUGCUCCACGGCACAGCCCAAGGGAUUUCUCUUAAUAGUGUAUCUGAUCACGUCGCCUGUCUUUAAACCUCUAGCAGAAUCGCAGUGUGCCCGGCAUGAAGUCACAACAGCCCACCUUGGUUUUCAAGGCUAUGACUUUCCCACAUACCUGCCUCUCCAAGCUAGAGCAGUAUUGAGGCCUUUCAGGUCCCUGCAUGAGCCAUGAUCUCUCCCACAGAGUUCUUCUACUUGGGGAUCCCUCUGACUGGCUCACACCAACGCAUUCUUCCCAGCCCCCCAACCACCCUGCACCGAGAUCCCUGCUGCACACCGCCCUGUAGCUGCCCUGACCUGAGGACUCCUCACACUGAACUGUAACUGGCACGCCCCUCACCUGCCUCCCGGCUCUGAAUCCCAUCUUCAAUGUGUCUUAAAUCCCUGCUGGGCACACAGCUGCACAAUAAAUGUGCUCAGAGUAAGAAAAGAGCAUUCAAAAUUUUAAUCCAUUAAUCAACCACCAGAUUGGAAAAACAUAAAAAGAAAAAAGCCCUAUCAAAGGAGUGGAACAUUCAGCCCUGAACUUCAAAGUGGUAAGAGAGCCAACAAAUGGAGAUGCACGGUGGCAAAUACUUAAAGAGGGUUCCCAUCUGGAGUUCUCCUGUGGUGCAGUGGGUUUAGGAUCUGCCGUUGUCACUGCAGCAGCUUGGGUUGCUGCUGUGAUGCAGGUCUGACCCCUGGCCUGGAACUUCCACAUGCCUGGGGCAUGGCUCCCCCAAAUGGGGUUCCCACUGGGCCAGGUGUACCGCGGGGAACAGGCCUUUGGCUGACCUCCCUGCAGCCCUGGGCUUCAGGAGGACACCUGUUCUCUGUAUCACAUCUCUCUGCUCAGUUGACAGUCAUCCUGCCAGAUGCUGCCACGCUUGCUGCUGCUAGGUCACAACAGCACACCACACAACGCAACCAAUGGAGCUGGCAGGAGUCAGGCACAAGUCUUUAACCAGCCCAUUGAGAAUUGAAUUCAGAC